rnacentral:rRNA from 1 species
GACGAACGCUGGCGGCAUGCUUUACACAUGCAAGUCGAACGGUAACAGGCCGCAAGGUGCUGACGAGUGGCGAACGGGUGAGUAAUGCAUCGGAACGUGCCCAGCCGUGGGGGAUAACGCAGCGAAAGCUGUGCUAAUACCGCAUACGAUCUAUGGAUGAAAGCGGGGGACCGUAAGGCCUCGCGCGAUUGGAGCGGCCGAUGUCAGAUUAGGCAGUUGGUGGGGUAAAGGCUCACCAAGCCAACGAUCUGUAGCUGGUCUGAGAGGACGACCAGCCACACUGGGACUGAGACACGGCUCAGACUCCUACGGGAGGCAGCAGUGGGGAAUUUUGGACAAUGGGCGCAAGCCUGAUCCAGCAAUGCCGCGUGCAGGAAGAAGGCCUUCGGGUUGUAAACUGCUUUUGUACGGAACGAAACGGCGAGCUCUAAUACAGUUUGCUAAUGACGGUACCGUAAGAAUAAGCACCGGCUAACUACGUGCCAGCCGCCGCCGUAA